rnacentral:rRNA from 1 species
GAUGAACGCUGGCGGCGUGCCUAAUACAUGCAAGUCGAGCGAACAGACGAGGAGCUUGCUCCUCUGACGUUAGCGGCGGACGGGUGAGUAACACGUGGAUAACCUACCUAUAAGACUGGGAUAACUUCGGGAAACCGGAGCUAAUACCGGAUCAUAUAUUGAACCGCAUGGUUCAAUAGUGAAAGACGGUUUUGCUGUUACUUAUAGAUGGAUCCGCGUCGCAUUAGCUAGUUGGUAAGGUAACGGCUUACCAAGGCAACGAUGCGUAGCCGACCUGAGAGGGUGAUCGGCCACACUGGAACUGAGACACGGUCCAGACUCCUACGGGAGGCAGCAGUAGGGAAUCUUCCGCAAUGGGCGAAAGCCUGACGGAGCAACGCCGCGUGAGUGAUGAAGGUCUUCGGAUCGUAAAACUCUGUUAUUAGGGAAGAACAAAUGUGUAAGUAACUAUGCACGUCUUGACGGUACCUAAUCAGAAAGCCACGGCUAACUACGUG